rnacentral:rRNA from 1 species
UACGUAGGUGGCAAGCGUUGUCCGGAUUUAUUGGGCGUAAAGCGAGCGCAGGCGGUUUCUUAAGUCUGAUGUGAAAGCCCCCGGCUCAACCGGGGAGGGUCAUUGGAAACUGGGAGACUUGAGUGCAGAAGAGGAGAGUGGAAUUCCAUGUGUAGCGGUGAAAUGCGUAGAUAUAUGGAGGAACACCAGUGGCGAAGGCGGCUCUCUGGUCUGUAACUGACGCUGAGGCUCGAAAGCGUGGGGAGC